UACGAAGGGGGCUAGCGUUGCUCGGAAUUACUGGGCGUAAAGGGCGCGUAGGCGGUUCUAUAAGUCAGGCGUGAAAUUCCUGGGCUUAACCUGGGGGCUGCGCUUGAGACUGUGGGACUUGAGGUCAGAAGAGGGUCGUGGAAUUCCCAGUGUAGAGGUGAAAUUCGUAGAUAUUGGGAAGAACACCGGUGGCGAAGGCGGCGACCUGGUCUGAUACUGACGCUGAGGCGCGACAGCGUGGGGGGCAAACAGG
rnacentral:rRNA from 1 species